UGGGCUCCUCCACGGGGCAGUGCUGUAUUUCCUACAUGCCAUGUUAUAUUUAUUACGGACGCUAGUCCAGUCUUUGCUUUAAGGCAGGAGCACUGGUGCCCCAGAGGAAUGUCGUCUGGAGUAAGCCUGCACUGCCACGCGUGGGGAUGGCACAGGGCUAUGCCAGUGUGGACAGAAAAUAGGGGAUGCUGGCCUGACCCUAGUUUCAGGUCACCAAGGAAGAAGAGGCCUCUUGCCUGCACUUCUAGAAUUUACUAUAUUGGACAAGCUCCACAUCGCCCAGGGAUACAUCACUCAGCACAUCAGAUGGGCAGUGCUCAAGGCAGGGCUCCUGCCUGAGGAUAAAAAUAAACGUAAUUCAGCUGCGUCAUCCACUCAGUUUCCAGUUCAUCCUGUGCACUGAACAGGCCGGGGUUCGGCAGGAACAACAUCUGUGAGCAUAGAAUUAAGGACGGGAUCACAAUGCAUACACACCAGAAGGCGGAAUUAAGGCGGCAUGGACAUAACUGACAUUUCCUGCCUCUUCAGCUCUUCAGUGUGCAGCCUUAAUGUGCUUUGAACAAUUUUUACAUGGAAUUAUUAGAGCAUUAAUUAACACUAUCAAGCCUAAUGACCGGUGGUUGAGAUACAGAGUAUCCUUUAGAAAGAGACGGACAGUCCUGACGUAAAAAGACUCCAGGUGAUGAAGAAUCCACUACAUCACUUGCUAUAGGCCCGACUCUCAGAACAGAGCCUUCUGCCUGGAUGACAUCGCCUGGAAAGAGCAGCCUUUGAGAAGCCAGUCGCUGAGGUACAAGUAAGCCACCACUACCGCUCGAACCUUCAAGAACACUCUUGGGGCUGAAGAUGGACCAACAGAAAAGUCACUUGUUAUUGGAAAUGAUCUUUGCCGACAGUGAAUCGUAGCUAUUUCCUGUGUGAUGGGAAUUUGGCUAUAUAGAAAGAGGUUUUUUCUAGGUAAAGGGAUGAAAACCAAUCACCUUCCUCUAGAGCAGGAAUUAUGAUUAAGAGUCACCAUCCUGGUCUUUUUAGGUUUCACAAAUUUGUUCUUAGAUCUAAGAGUGGCCUCCAAUCUCCAUCCUUUUUCAAUACUAGGAAAUAUUCUGAAUAGAACCCCCUGCCCCUGUGAGGGGAAGGGACUGGCUCUAUCGCUCCUAGCUGGAGGAGUGUCCAGCUCUUGCCUUAGAAGACCAUGAGAGGGUCCAGGAAUGGGUGUGAAAGGUAGUGGCAAAAACUGGAUGGCAUAGCCCGAUGUUAUGACCACCAAGAUCCAUUGGUCUACGGUGAUCCGCUCCCAGGCCUGGUGAAAAUGGAUAAAGCGGUCCCCACAGGGAGUGAGGUUAGAGAUGUUGGAGGGCAGAUGAGGAAGUCACCCCUGAAACUCCCAUUGUGUUGUUGCUGCUGGAUGAGGUACUCAUGCUUCCCCCCUCUUUCCAUCGCUGACAAUUUCAGGGCCUCCUUAGAAGGGUAGCGAGUGCUCUACAGCUCCCUCUGGAGGAUGUCAAAGACUAGCAGCACAGACUGCUUGAUGUUUUGCACUCAGCAACACCCUCCAGAGUGGCACCACCUGUUAAUGAGGCUCUCCUGGAUCCAGCUCAGACAGCAUGGCAGAGGCCAUGCCACCACCAUCCAAACAGGUUCCAGGUGAAACUAUUGGCUGAAUCUGACCCAGAUUAGUGAGUAGGUGCAGUCCCUCCCCCCCAUGAACUUUUUGGGGCACAUUUACUAUUCACCAAAUUUUUGUUUGCCUCUCUACUCCAGCAGGAUCUUUGUGCAACACCUGCUGAUUCAUGAUCGGAACCCUUAGGGUUCGCAAUAGUGGGAAUCACAAAUCAGGCCUUUCAAAAUCCUGAGAUUUUAAGUAUCAGGCUCUGUACAUUGACCUUCUGAUGUUUCCAUCCCCGCCUGGAGGAGCCACUCCAGCUUUUCUCCCCACACAGGAGGGCUAGAACCUGACCCUUGUUUUAAAGGCCAGCUGAGAUUCUCCCAUAUUCAUAGGAGUCCAGGAGCUGGGGUUUCAUUGAAUUCAUCACAGAUCAUGAGACUCUAACACCCUGAGACACAAGCUUUCACUCUCAUCUCUCUCACCAACAAAAGUUGGUUCAAUGAAAGGUAUUAACCCCCCCCAGCCCACCUCUCUGAUGUCCUGGGACUGACAUGGCUACAACACCGAUAACAUCCUGAGUCAGCCACACUAGACAGCAAUUAUAGGUGAGGCCUUGACAGUGGGGAACACCAUGGUAGUGAUGUAAGUGGGGCCCUCAUCUUCAGGGUGAGAACUACUUGCAGGCAGGGGUGGUUUUGUGUGAGCACCGGGGGAGCAAGCCCUCUUCCAGGGACUUUGCUUGAAGACUUGUGUGCCAAGGGGAAGAGGAGCAGGAGAUGCGUUAGGAGCAAGGAGUCUGUCAUGGGCAGGGAGAGAAUCGCCAGCUGGAGGGAGGGAGGCUAGCCCCCAGCCCCACCCCUUCCACACCAGAGCUCACAGCUCCACACCGUGGCCACGGGCCCCCACCCCAGGUUAAUGCCCACAGCCCCGGGAGGGUGGGUAGCACGGCUACAGCCUCCCCAGCCCCAGAAGGCAUGGCCCAAGCCUGAACUGGGGCCACCACACAGAAGGAGCUGCAGAGCAGGAAGGGGUCUGGGGCAGGGCCACGCCUGGCUGCUUGGGGAGGUACAGCCACCCCUAGUCUAGGAUACCCACCGCCCAUAGAGCAUCGGGUAACCCCAGAGGGGGAACGACUGAGGGUAGCAUUCCUAGGGCCUGCAGCAGGACUAAUCCUCCAAACCCCUUUCGCAGGAGACUCAAGAAUGAGGACUAAGGGCCAGGGCCGCUUUCUCCCAUCCCUUAUGCCCUGCCAAAGGCAGCUGUGCACAGGCUGGGGCUUUUAAUGAAAGCAAGCUGCUUUAGCCUCCUCCUCUCAGGCAGGGGAAGCUUUAUGAGCCAGGAAACCAUUUCCACAUUGCUUUGGUUCAGCCCCUGCUUGGCAGCCCGGCAGCUAGUUGAUUUACAAGGGGGAGAACUGCACGCGGGAGGCAGAUGCCUCUACGGGUUCACAGGCCUGCCUUAGGCCCCCAGCCUGCAGCAGGGACGGCGGGACGCCCCUUCUGCAUUUGUGGGAUCUGUUUUAUGCCCCGGGAGCAGGUGCCAGCAGUGGCAAUGGGCCCAGCGGGUACCAAGUCAUGGUGAAGGUUGCUGUGUGCUAGUUCUUCCAGAGGAUGCAGGACAGCCCUUUGAAUACUUACUGCCCUUCCCCCCACCCCCCUUUCAGGUGCACAGGACCCUGGACCCCCAAUUUCCCCCCCUCCAAAAGCAGCCUGCAUUUUAGUGCCUGCCCUCUGGGCUACUCCCUUGGGGGCCGAGGGCCAAGGCUCAGAGCAGAUUGCUAAGAGGUACUCAACAAUACUCAGCUCAUGGACCGUGCAAGCCCCAGCCAGGACUACUCUAAGCCAGCCCUGAGCGUGCUGAGAGGCAAGUCCUUCUCCCCUGCAGCCCAGGCUCACCGGCCUAACAAACAGCAGCGACGCUAGUCUAGGUACGGUGGUAGGUUUAAUACAAUCUCAGUUCUUUUUUCAAACCCAGGGGGCCCAAGACAACCCAGCAGUGCAGACAGCUGGGCCACAUAUAAAUCACAGUUCUAACAGCAGCACAUUUCCCCCUCCCCUCCCUGAACCACCCCCCGCCCAUUUACCUCAUUCCCACGCACAGGUGCUUCCCCUUGUGCUGCAGUCAGCACCUCGCCCUUCCUCCAGCUGCAGGACAAGGGAAGCGUUGGCACAGGCUGGCUGGGUGCAGUCUGUGCAGAGACCAGCCGCGCUGCCCCCCAGACUCUGUUCACAGCUAGGUUAAGCAGCAGCUUGGAGAGGCAUUACCCCCCUGGCAUGCUCUGCUACUGGUCCUCACCCAUCCCCUCCCGCCCUACAUACAAUCCCUCAGCUGGGCAGGCCCUGGCCUCUAGUGACCAGGUUACAGGCUUUGGCUGGUGAGGGCAGGGGGGCUUUGGAAGUGUCAUGUACUGGAGUUCCAUCCCUUGCUCCGGCCCUGCACAGCCUGGGAACAGCCCAGCCAGCAGAGGGAAAUCCAGCACAAGCUCUUCCAUAAAGAAUCUACAACCCCUCUCCUACCCCUCACAGAGCGAAGUCCACCCUCAGCUUAAUCCCCAACCCCCCUUAGACAGCGAGGCUGGCCCAGCCUGGGGAGGAAGGGGUGGUGGUGGUGGUGAUGAUAAAGGCACUAGCCUGAGAACCAGUCUUGGCUCUACUAGACUUCCUUCCUGUGUGACCUCAGACCAGUCACUUAACCAUUGUGUGCCUCAGUUUCCCUAUCCGUAAACCAGGGACACUCCCCCUGGUGAGGACACAAUGCAAGACGUACGUAACCCCUAGCAACGGGCAGGCCACAGAGCUGCCUGGAUGGAACCUCCCCCUACAGUGUGAACACCCAGCUCUCACUGUCCUCACCCCACCCUGGGGUGGGAACCAAACUACAACUGCUUUCUGAUGCCUUAUCCUCUGACCCCUGGGGCAUGCCAUCCAUCCUCCUCGGAGCCAGCAACAGGAUCUUGCCAGCACCAGGAAGAUGGAUGGAGUCACAAGCCAGUGGCUAUGGCUUGCAGUGACACGAUUGAGAGUCCCACUGUUUUACCCUGUCGCUGCUCUCCCACAAAGCCCUGCCUUUAACUGGGGCCCAUUCUGCAGUCGUAUUAAAUCCCAGAGAGGCAACGGUGUCCUAGGACAACAUUUAAUUGCACGGGUGUAAGGACGUCCUUAAGGAAACGGCUGCUCCUGAACCAUCCCACAGCAGGGACAGUGACGUGGGCCCGCUGCGGAGAUGUUUACUGGAGGGUCACUGGUGCAGGUCAGAUAUUAACGCACUAGAGAAGGUCUUCGCCACGGGAGAAGGCCUCUGCGGGGAGGACUGAGAUUGGUGGAAAAGGGUAGUUGGAGAAAAACAGCAG